UAUCCCCAUGGGAUCAGAGGAAUUUGAUGGCAUAACAUUCCACAUUCCAGAUUCAUACUUCAAUCGGGUAGAAUAUGCAGGGACAUACCUGUAAUGAUACAGAAACAUUAACUGUAAAUUGCAGUUUCAUAAUUACAUGCUGAGAAUAGAGAAUCCCUGCUAAUCAUCUAUCAGUUUCAUCAUGUUAGCCAAUAAAUAUGCAUCACUUAAGCCACGGCAAGCUAGCCUGUCUCUCCACUAUGGACAAGGCAUUGGCCUAAAAAUUGGCUGUACAGCAUGAAGACGAUGCAUACCACAUAGACCACCUACAGGAUUUGACCAGAUGGAAGAAAUAAAAAAUGAAUGAUGGUACCUAAGCUAUUCCCAGUGCAAGCGAGAGUUUGAUAUGCUGUAAAAAGGUUUACAUGUUGCACUAUAUGCACUAUGCAGAGCACCAGACCAUCCAGUUGCCAGCCUUAAUGGCAAUUUUGAAUAAGUCAAUUUGGACACACAAAAAAUAAA
rnacentral:misc_RNA from 1 species